ACGAACGCUGGCGGCGUGCUUAACACCUGCAAGUCGAACGGAAAGGCCCUGCUUUUGUGGGGUGCUCGAGUGGCGAACGGGUGAGUAACACGUGAGUAACCUGCCCUUGACUUUGGGAUAACUUCAGGAAACUGGGGCUAAUACCGGAUAGGAGCUCCUGCUGCAUGGUGGGGGUUGGAAAGUUUCGGCGGUUGGGGAUGGGCUCGCGGCUUAUCAGCUUGUUGGUGGGGUAGUGGCUUACCAAGGCUUUGACGGGUAGCCGGCCUGAGAGGGUGACCGGCCACAUUGGGACUGAGAUACGGCCCAGACUCCUACGGGAGGCAGCAGUGGGGAAUAUUGCACAAUGGGCGGAAGCCUGAUGCAGCAACGCCGCGUGCGGGAUGACGGCCUUCGGGUUGUAAACCGCUUUCGCCUGUGACGAAGCGUGAGUGACGGUAAUGGGUAAAGAAGCACCGGCUAACUACGUG
rnacentral:rRNA from 1 species